UACGUAGGUGGCGAGCGUUGUCCGGAAUUACUGGGUGUAAAGCGCGCGUAGGCGGUCGGCCAAGUCUGCGGUGAAAUCGCUCGGCUCAACCGGGGAACUGCGUCCGAUACUGGCGAGGCUCGAAUCCGGGAGAGGGAUGUGGAAUUCCAGGUGUAGCGGUGAAAUGCGUAGAUAUUGGCUGGAACACCGGUGGCGAAAGCGGCUCUCUGGCCCGGUUCUGACGCUGAGGCGCGAAAGCGUGGGGAGCAAACAGG
rnacentral:rRNA from 1 species